rnacentral:rRNA from 1 species
AUUGAACGCUGGCGGCAGGCCUAACACAUGCAAGUCGAACGAGUGGCGGACGGGUGAGUAAUGUCUGGGAAACUGCCCGAUGGCGGGGGAUAACUACUGGAAACGGUAGCUAAUACCGCAUACCAUCGGAUGUGCCCCGAUGGUAUUCGCUAGUAGGUGGGGUAAUGGUUCACCUAGGCGACGAUCCCUAGCUGGUCUGAGAGGCUGAACAGCCACACUGGAACUGGGACACGGUCCAGACUCCUACGGGAGGCAGCAGUGGGGAAUAUUGCACAAUGGGAGCAAGCCUGAUGCAGCCAUGCCGCGUGUAUGAAGAAGGCCUUCGGGUUGUAAAGUACUGACAGCGAGGAGGCGUUACUCGAAGAAGAAGCACCGGCUAACUCCGUGCCAGCAGCCGCGGUAAUUC